UUGGGAGAUAUGUAUAAGCAAUGUUUUAAGGCCCAGCCUGCAAGUAGCACACAAAACAUUUUCUUAUAUUCCCGUAGUGAAAGCUAUGUUGAAUGGCCACACCAAGCUCCAAAAGGGGUUGAGAAGCCACUGCCCAAUUACAACUUUACUAAUAUGUGUCUGUGUAACCCAGCCAUCCUGCAGCAGAGGAGAAACUAGAAUCCAGGUCUUCCAAUUCUCAGGAAGGGGGCAUAACCUCCAAAAGAAUGACAUAGCCUGAGGACAUGAUAUAAACUGAUCAGAACCAACCAGAUCCAAGAUGGCAGAAGAAGCUAGCUGCCAUAUGGAGAGGACACAGAAACAGCUCAAAGGAGAGAUUUGAGUGGUAGGAACUGAAGCCUCCUGCCAGCAGCCGUGUGUGAGCUACCUGGGAGGUUAGAUUCUCCAGCCCUAGUCGAGUCUCUGAUGGCUUCAGCUCCAGCUGAC
ensembl:lncRNA